UCCGUAGUGCCUAUCAAGGAGAUUCAUUCAUCCGAGCACUUCCUAUAAUCUGUCGUUCUUUUUGCAGUCAAUGAUCAGUCAUAUCUGUAAUCGUGCAAAUUCCACCACUUAUUCAUGAUAAUCAUGGUUAGCGCACUUGCCUUUCACCUCUGAGGCUGCAGGUUCGAAUCUCUCUAAGUACCUUCUCAAUGCGACUCGAACCCAGUCCUCAUGUGAAAAGAGUAAAAGUCAACGCUCUGCCGAAAGCCGUGGGUUUUCCCCGGGUACUCCGGUUUCCUCCCACAGGGAAAGUUGACAGGGUGGGUUAGGUAAAAAGGGCCCACAGUAAUUGGCAUAUGCUGUUGUGGUGACCCUGCCCUAGUUGGCAAAAGCUAAAUAAAUAAAUAAAUAAAUAAAUAAAUGGCUGGUUCCAGAUAAACAAUUUUAAUUCCGGUUACUUUUGUAUUUUAUCAACCCACUCACGGUAAUUCUUUUUCGUAAUCUGCUUUUUUGACAAGGUUUUUUCUAAACAUCUUUGGAUGGGGA